UACGUAGGUGGCAAGCGUUGUCCGGAUUUAUUGGGUUUAAAGGGUGCGUAGGCGGUUUUGUAAGUCAGUGGUGAAAUACUCUAGCUUAACUAGAGGGGUGCCAAUGAUACUGCAGAACUUGAGUACAGAUGAGGUAGGCGGAAUUGACGGUGUAGCGGUGAAAUGCGUAGAUAUCGUAAGGAAGACCAGUGGCGAAGGCGAAUCUCUGGACAGUUACUGACACUGAGGCACGAAGGCCAGGGGAGCAAACAGG
rnacentral:rRNA from 1 species